rnacentral:rRNA from 1 species
GACGAACGCUGGCGGCGCGCUUAACACAUGCAAGUCGAGCGGUAAGGCUCCUUCGGGGGUACACGAGCGGCGAACGGGUGAGUAACACGUGCGUAAUCUGCCCUUCACUUCGGGAUAACCACCGGAAACGGAGGCUAAUACCGAAUACGACCAGUCUUCGCAUGCGGUGCUGGUGGAAAGUCUUUUCGGUGUAGGAUGUGCUCGCGGCCUAUCAGCUUGUUGGUGGGGUAAUGGCCUACCAAGGCUUCGACGGGUAGCCGGCCUGAGAGGGUGCCCGGCCACGCUGGGACUGAGACUCGGCCCAGACUCCUACGGGAGGCAGCAGUGGGGAAUAUUGGACAAUUGGCGAAAGCCUGAUCCAGCAACGCCGCGUGAGGGAUGACGGCCUUCGGGUUGUAAACCUCUUUCAGUACCGACGAAGCGCCCUGUCGGGUGUUGACGGUAGGUACAGAAGAAGGACCGGCCAACUACGUG